GGGGAAUAUUGCACAAUGGGCGGAAGCCUGAUGCAGCAACGCCGCGUGAGGGAUGACGGCCUUCGGGUUGUAAACCUCUUUUAGCAGGGAAGAAGCGAGAGUGACGGUACCUGCAGAAAAAGCACCGGCUAACUACGUGCCAGCAGCCGCGGUAAUACGUAGGGUGCAAGCGUUAUCCGGAAUUAUUGGGCGUAAAGAGCUCGUAGGCGGUCUGUCGCGUCUGCUGUGAAAUCCCGAGGCUCAACCUCGGGCUUGCAGUGGGUACGGGCAGACUAGAGUGCGGUAGGGGUGACUGGAAUUCCUGGUGUAGCGGUGGAAUGCGCAGAUAUCAGGAGGAACACCGAUGGCGAAGGCAGGUCACUGGGCCGCAACUGACGCUGAGGAGCGAAAGCAUGGGGGGCGAACA
rnacentral:rRNA from 1 species